rnacentral:lncRNA from 1 species
UCGGGGCAGAGUUACGUCACCCGCAGCCGGCGGUUCCUUGGGAUGCGCUGGGCGCUGAGGGCCGCGGUGACCCUUGUGCUGGGCGCAGCGCAACGGGGACCUGUCCUUCCCCUACCCAACCGCCCUGUUGGUAGCUGAGGGAAUCCUGCCCUCGCGGCGUCUGGCCGGAGAGGGUAGGGGAAGAGGCAAGUAGGAAGGCGGCUUGCUGUAACCCUCGGGUGCGGCUGUAGCGGGAGGCGUUUACCAUUCUGAGGAGCAUCCAUUUGAAAGCCCUCUGAGAUGAAAACUCUUGGUGAAUAUUUUGCAUAAACAGCCACGUGGAGAUGCAAGAGUGCAAAACAGAGUAACUGAAAGCUAUUGGAGGUUAGUUCACCACUGGAGACUACCAAAAGUCCUUUCUUUUAUCCACCCCCCUACCUCUGUGCAGCCUCACUUAACCUCACACCUCAGGUGAGGGGGAAAUCAGAGAAGGACCAGCAGCUUGCCAGUGCUGGUAGCCUCAUUGCCAGUUUCUUCAUCCAUUUUAAAGCUACAGAUAAUCUGACACUACUCAGAAUAUCUAAGCCUUAAACAUUAACUGUCAGAAGACUUUCUCUAUUUAUCCAUUCUGAUACGUGGCACAAACAAGUUGUUUUUUCCGACGAUAUCCAGCUGUGACAUCUUCUCCUAUUGAAGUUCAUCUGUGGAUAGAAGGUAAGGUGUUUUGAAACAUCUUAGCUCUGCAGAUCAUAUUUGAUCUUUAACGGCUCAGCUGCCCAGAUUUCACAAAGUAUUAAUAUAUAAAAACAUUUAUUUUGUAAUAUUUUACAGAAG